GCCCUUAUAGUUCAACGGAUAGAACGGCGCACUCCUAACGCGCAAAUCCAAGUUCGACUCUUGGUGGGGGCA
rnacentral:tRNA from 1 species